UGGGGAAUUUUGGACAAUGGGCGAAAGCCUGAUCCAGCAAUGCCGCGUGUGUGAAGAAGGCCUUCGGGUUGUAAAGCACUUUUGUCCGGAAAGAAAUCCUUGGCUCUAAUACAGUCGGGGGAUGACGGUACCGGAAGAAUAAGCACCGGCUAACUACGUGCCAGCAGCCGCGGUAAUACGUAGGGUGCAAGCGUUAAUCGGAAUUACUGGGCGUAAAGCGUGCGCAGGCGGUUUGCUAAGACCGAUGUGAAAUCCCCGGGCUCAACCUGGGAACUGCAUUGGUGACUGGCAGGCUAGAGUAUGGCAGAGGGGGGUAGAAUUCCACGUGUAGCAGUGAAAUGCGUAGAGAUGUGGAGGAAUACCGAUGGCGAAGGCAGCCCCCUGGGCCAAAUACUGACGCUCAUGCACGAAAGCGUGGGGAGCAAACAGGAUUAGAUACCCUGGUGGUCCACGCCCUAAACGAUGUCAACUAGUUGUU
rnacentral:rRNA from 1 species